rnacentral:rRNA from 1 species
GACGAACGCUGGCGGCGUGCCUAAUACAUGCAAGUUGAGCGCUGAAGGUUGGUACUUGUACCAACUGGAUGAGCAGCGCACGGGUGAGUAACGCGUGGGGAAUCUGCCUUUGAGCGGGGGACAACAUUUGGAAACGAAUGCUAAUACCGCAUAAAAACUUUAAACACAAGGUUUAAGUUUGAAAGAUGCAAUUGCAUCACUCAAAGAUGAUCCCGCGUUGUAUUAGCUAGUUGGUGAGGUAAAGGAUCACCAAGGCGAUGAUACAUAGCCGACCUGAGAGGGUGAUUGGCCACACUGGGAGGGAGACCGGCCCCAAACGCCUACGGGAGGCAGCCGUAGGGAAUCUUCGGCAAUGGAUGAAAGUCUUACCGAGCAACGCCGCGGGAGUGAAGAAGGUUUUCGGGUCGUAGAACUCUGUUGGUAGAGAAGAACGUUGGUGAGAGUGGAAAGCUCAGCAAGUGACGGUAACUACCCAGAAAGGGACGGCUAACUACGUG